rnacentral:rRNA from 1 species
AACUAACGCUGGCGGCGUGCCUAACACAUGCAAGUCGUACGAGAAAGUUGGCUUCGGCCGAUGAGUACAGUGGCGCACGGGUGAGUAACGCGUGGAUAAUCUGCCCUUAAGUGUGGAAUAACGUACCGAAAGGUGCGCUAAUACCGCAUAAUGCCUGGCAACAUAAGUUGUCCGGCCAAAGAAGGCCUCUGCUUGCAAGCUUUCGCUAAAGGAUGAGUCCGCGUACUAUUAGCUAGUUGGUGGGGUAACGGCCUACCAAGGCGACGAUGGUUAGCUGGUCUGAGAGGAUGAUCAGCCACACUGGAACUGAGACACGGUCCAGACUCCUACGGGAGGCAGCAGUGAGGAAUAUUGCGCAAUGGGGGCAACCCUGACGCAGCAACGCCGCGUGAGUGAGGAAGGUUUUCGGACUGUAAAGCUCUGUCGAGCGGGAAGAAGUGUACCAUGGCUAAUAUCCAUGAUAUUUGACGGUACCGCUAGAGG